GUUAGCUGGUCUGAGAGGAUGRCCAGCCACACUGGAACUGAGACACGGUCCAGACUCCUACGGGAGGCAGCAGUGGGGAAUAUUGGACAAUGGGGGCAACCCUGAUCCAGCAAUGCCGCGUGUGUGAAGAAGGCCUGAGGGUUGUAAAGCACUUUCAGUGGGGAGGAGGGUUGAUAGGUUAAGAGCUAAUUAAYUGGACGUUACCCACAGAAGAAGCACCGGCUAACUCCGUGCCAGCAGCCGCGGUAAUACGGAGGGUGCGAGCGUUAAUCGGAAUUACUGGGCGUAAAGGGUGCGUAGGUGKUUWAUUAAGUUAUCUGUGAAAUCCCUGGGCU
rnacentral:rRNA from 1 species